UUCCUCUCAAGGUCACACCUGGAGAGUUCCCAGUACUCUACCAGUCUCGGCUACGGGAGGGAGAGUCAGGCAAAGGCCUACCCAUUCCAUUCCUAGCUUGGCCAGUGGUGAGGGAAUGGAAGGCAAUCUGCUACAAGC
rnacentral:snoRNA from 1 species